rnacentral:rRNA from 1 species
CCUACGGGAGGCAGCAGUGAGGAAUAUUGGUCAAUGGACGAGAGUCUGAACCAGCCAAGUAGCGUGAAGGAUGACUGCCCUAUGGGUUGUAAACUUCUUUUAUAUGGGAAUAAAAUGUUCCACGUGUGGGAUUUUGUAUGUACCAUAUGAAUAAGGAUCGGCUAACUCCGUGCCAGCAGCCGCGGUAAUACGGAGGAUCCGAGCGUUAUCCGGAUUUAUUGGGUUUAAAGGGAGCGUAGGUGGAUUGUUAAGUCAGUUGUGAAAGUUUGCGGCUCAACCGUAAAAUUGCAGUUGAAACUGGCAGUCUUGAGUACAGUAGAGGUGGGCGGAAUUCGUGGGGUAGCGGUGAAAUGCUGAGAUAUCACGAAGAACUCCGAUUGCGAAGGCAGUUCACUGGACUGCAACUGACACUGAGGCUCGAAAGUGUGGGUAUCAAACAGGAUUAGAUACCCGUGUAGUC